GAUGAACGCUGGCGGCGUGCCUAAUACAUGCAAGUCGAGCGAACAGACGAGGAGCUUGCUCCUCUGACGUUAGCGGCGGACGGGUGAGUAACACGUGGAUAACCUACCUAUAAGACUGGGAUAACUUCGGGAAACCGGAGCUAAUACCGGAUAAUAUAUUGAACCGCAUGGUUCAAAAGUGAAAGACGGUUUUGCUGUCACUUAUAGAUGGAUCCGCGCCGCAUUAGCUAGUUGGUAAGGUAACGGCUUACCAAGGCAACGAUGCGUAGCCGACCUGAGAGGGUGAUCGGCCACACUGGAACUGAGACACGGUCCAGACUCCUACGGGAGGCAGCAGUAGGGAAUCUUCCGCAAUGGGCGAAAGCUUGAUGGAGCAACGCCGCGUGAGUGAUGAAGGUCUUCGGAUCGUAAAACUCUGUUAUUAGGGAAGAACAAAUGUGUAAGUAACUAUGCACGUCUUGACGGUACCUAAUCAGAAAGCCACGGCUAACUACGUG
rnacentral:rRNA from 1 species